AUAUAAGCAAAAUUUACUUUUUAGGUUCAUUCAUUUAAUGAUGUAUGUGGUGGACCACAUACAUCAUUAAAUGAAUGAACCUAAAAAGUAAAUUUUGCUUAUAU
rfam:Medicago truncatula strain A17 chromosome 3, whole genome shotgun sequence.